rnacentral:tRNA from 1 species
CCGACUUUAGCUCAGUUGGUAGAGGGGAGGACUGUAGUGUAUGUAGAUUAAUCCUUAGGUCGCUGGUUCGAAUCUGGCAAGUCGGA